UUUCCCUACGGGGCGCAGCAGUGGGGAAUAUUGCACAAUGGGGGAAACCCUGAUGCAGCGACGCCGCGUGAGUGAAGAAGUAUUUCGGUAUGUAAAGCUCUAUCAGCAGGGAAGAAAAAAGACGGUACCUGACUAAGAAGCCCCGGCUAACUACGUGCCAGCAGCCGCGGUAAUACGUAGGGGGCAAGCGUUAUCCGGAUUUACUGGGUGUAAAGGGAGCGUAGACGGCAGCGCAAGUCUGGAGUGAAAUCCCAUGGCUUAACCAUGGAACUGCUUUGGAAACUGUGCAGCUGGAGUGCAGGAGG
rnacentral:rRNA from 1 species